rnacentral:rRNA from 1 species
UACGUAGGGGGCUAGCGUUGUCCGGAAUCAUUGGGCGUAAAGAGCGUGUAGGCGGUCCGGUAAGUCCGCUGUGAAAGUCGGGGGCUCAACCCUCGAAUGCCGGUGAAUACUGUCGGGCUCGAGUCCGGAAGAGGCGAGUGGAAUUCCUGGUGUAGCGGUGAAAUGCGCAGAUAUCAGGAGGAACACCAAUGGCGAAGGCAGCUCGCUGGGACGUGACUGACGCUGAGACGCGAAAGCGUGGGGAGCAAACAGG